rnacentral:lncRNA from 1 species
GCCCCCGCCGCGGCCCAACUUGACUGGAGUUGAGGUCCUGAGCGCCUGCCCCCGAGCAGCCGGCCCGCGGAGAGCUCUGCGCCGCCACCCCAGGUCCGGAAACCCUCCCCGCACCUCUCCGCUCCCGCGACCGGAAAAGUUGGCGCGGGCGGCCGCCCCCCAGCCGUGCAGAGCGCUCUUCUCCCCGGCGCGGGGCCCUCGGUCCUCCGGCCCCCGGAGCCUGCGGUGGUGGCUCCUGCUGGGUCCUGCAGUACCAGAGUUGCGACCCCAGGGUCCCCUUACCAGCGGCUGCCAGGACGCACUCCUGCUCCUCCCUCCCCUUCCCGGAGCGCACCCGGCACUGGGGCGGUGCGAGGUGAGCGGGAGAAGAUGGAGCAGGAGAAGCCCAUGGGGACUUCGGGCAGCGGGAGCGUAGACUCCGGAACAAUAAUAAAAAAAUACGCAGGCUUCCAGGAUGGAGGAACUGAAGCUGACAAACAGCAAGUUAGAGGGUGGCAAGGAACUCCAGCACACCAAAGUGCCCCGCCCGUCCCGACCGCCGCCACAGCCGGAUACUUGCUGAGAACCUAGUAUUUUCCAGGCGUUGAUCAAGAGGUGUGUGUGAAGUGAUACAAAAAGUUAUGAACAUUCAUAUAAGGCAGUAGAAGAUGAUGGCACAACUGCUAGAGAAGUAAAGCUUGUUAUCCCGGAAGAGAAAUAGAAGCUGCCAUUUGCUUUCUCUCCGCUGGCCGCUGACCCUUGGAGAGGCAGUGUGGACAACAUGGACACUUACUCACAACAGUGCCACUGAGACAUGUUAUCAGGUAAUUGGCCAGUCAUACUUUGCCCAGAGCCAAAGGUUUGAGGUCUUCCUUAAUUAGAAUGACAGAAGCUAUGGGAAUCCAAAGUCAUGGACAUCUGACCCAGAGCUUGCCUGUUGGAAGGUAAAAGGUCUUUGGUUUAGUUCUUCACUUCCCACAACUCUCUUAAUUAGAAUUAUGAAAAGAGCAUUUUGUCAACUGGCAGCCAAAGCAACUUGGGAUCUGAGCUGUGUCUGUGACCUAUGCUGCAACUCACAGGCCAAGGAUCAAACCAUCGUCCUCAUGGAUACUGGUUGGGUUCGUUAGCACUGAGCCACAACGGGAACUCCUGAGUGAGGGAUUUUUACCUGGACAGCCAUGGGCUCUCACUGAAAACUAAAAUUAUGUUCAGGUAUGAUCCUCAGGUCCCUGCAUUUAAGUGACUGUCCUUUACCCUUUGAAUUUCUUUGGAACAUUCUAGGUACUGUGCCUGAAGGUAGGUCCCAGUGCUUGUGAGGACAGACAGAUUUUAUAAAGAUAAACUUGCUGUUGCUGAAAGACAGCAUUUUGCUAAAGAAAUCCUCCUAUACAAAAAGGCCUGGUCGUGUGCAUUAGUGUAGGUGAGAAAUGAGAGCAAAGUAUUCGAAGUAAACUUUCUCAUGGUGACUAUAUUUGUUGGAUUUACAGUGGCUUUGUUCUUUUCCUUUUUUUCAUUUUUAAAGUUUUAUUGAAAUACAGGUAGUUUACAAGGUCAUGAUAAUUUCUGCUGUACAACAAAGUGAUUGAGUUAUUCUGAAUGGAUGUAUACAUAUACCCAUUCUUUUUCAGAUUAUUUUCCCAUGUAGAUUAUCACAGAAUAUUGGGUAAAGUUCUCUGUACUAUACAGCAGGUCCCUGUUGGCCAGUCAAUCCAUACACCUCACUGCAUAUGCCAGUCCCAAACCCCCAUUCCAUCCCUCCCACCCCUCACCUGUCCCCUUUGGUAACCAUAAGUUUUUCAAAGUCUGUGAGUCUCUUUUUGUUCUGCAAAUACAUUCAUUUGUGUCCUUUUUUCAAGAUUCCACAUAUAAGUGAUAUCAUAUAAUGUUUGUCUUUCACUGUCUUACUAACCUAACUUGGUAUGAUAAUUUCUAGGUCCAUCCAUGUUGCUACAAAUGGCAUUAUUUUUAUGGCUGAAUAAAUAUUCCAUUGUAUAAAUGCACCAUAUCUUCUUUAUCGUUUUCUCUGCUGAUGGACGUUUAGGUUGUUUCCAUGUCUUGACUGUUGUGAAUAGUGCUGUAGUGCUGCAGUGAACAUCGGGGUGCAUGUUUCAUUUCGAAUUAUGGUUUUCUCCAGAUAGAUACCCAGGAAUGGAAUUGCUGGAUCACAUGGUAGUUUUAUUUUUAGUUUUUUGAGGAACCUCCUUACUGUUUUCCAUAGAAAAAAACAAACAAACAAAAAGAUAACACACAGAAUGGGACACAGUAUUUGGAAAUGAAGUGACUACAAAGGAUCACUCUCCAAAAUAUACAAACACCUCCUGCAGCUCAAUAUUGAAAAAAAAAAAAAAAA